AGGACAACAUUGCUUUUUAAACAGCAUGGAGGACUGAACCUGACAAGAGCCACUGUGAAGGCUGACUGACUGCAUGUGAGUUAAAACCAAAUUAGGUUGGAUCCUUUUGUUGUUCUUGGCACUAAUCCAUUCCAGAACUCUGAUGGUCAAAAGGAAGAUCAGCAACUUAUCUUGCUUGCUCCACUUAAAUUAAGCAAAGGAGAGCUUGCUGGAUGGUUUGGACAUCUUGUAACUCAAGAAGACAUGGAGGGAGGUAACAGGUCUUCCUUGCCACACACGGGCUUUCUCUAGUUGCGGUGAUCAGGGGUUAGUCUUCACUGCGGUGCACGGGCUUCUCAUCGCUGUGGCUUCUCUUAUGGAGCACAGGCUCUAGGUGCAUGGGCUUCAGUGGUUGCAGCUCAUGGGCCCUAGAGUGCAGGCUCAGUGGUCGUGGCUCACGGGCUUUAGUUGCUCCAUGGCAUGUGGAAUCUUCCUGGACCAGGGAUCAAACCCAUGUCUCCUGCAUCUGCAGGCAGAUUCUUAUCCACAGAACCAGUUGCGGCAUGUGGGAUCUUUGAUCGUCACUGUGGCAUGCGAAAUCUUUAGUUGCAGCAUGUGGGAUCUAGUUCCCUGACCAAGGAUUGAACCCGAGCCUUCUGCAUUGGGAGUGCAGUCUUAGCCACUGGACCACGAGGGAAGUCCCUAAAAUGGUUAAUUUUAUGUUACAUGACUUUUACCUCAAUAAAAUUUUUUUAAAAACCAAACACUUCACCCUGCC
ensembl:lncRNA